rnacentral:lncRNA from 1 species
GUAGUGCGCAUGCGCGAGACGCGGGACGGCAGUACGCAUGCGCGACAUUACGGAUGGCAGUUCGCAUGCGCGACGUUAUGGACGGCAGUACUCAUGCGCUAGCCGCGAGACGGCUGUACGCAUGGGCGACAUUAUGGACGGCAGUACGCAUGCGCGAGCGUCGAGCCGGCAGUACGCAUGCGCGACAUUACGGGCAGCAGUACGCUUGCGCGAGUUUCCAGACGGCAGUACGCAUGCGCGAUGUGCGAGACAGCAGUACGCAUGCGCGACAUUAUGGACGGCAGUACGCAUGCGCGAGCCCCGAGACGGAAGUGGCAGCAGAUACCGUGGAAACAACAACUCCGCCGCCUUUUAGCGGACUGCCUGGGACCGUGGGCGCGCAUCCCCUUCUCUCUUUCUUUUCUUGGCAGAGGAUGGUGGGGGGAAGAAGGGGAGACGACAAAGAAAAGCAAGGAAAACUUCGACAAACCCUCCAACCCCGUGCUAAAUGCUUUGGUAUACCUGUAAAUAAAUGAAUACAUAACCAGCAA